AUUGAACGCUGGCGGCAUGCUUUACACAUGCAAGUCGAACGGUAACAGGCCUUCGGGUGCUGACGAGUGGCGAACGGGUGAGUAAUGCAUCGGAACGUGCCCAGAGGUGGGGGAUAACGCAGCGAAAGCUGUGCUAAUACCGCAUGUGAUCUGAGGAUGAAAGCGGGGGACCAGGCAGCAAUGUUUGGCCUCGCGCCUUUGGAGCGGCCGAUGUCAGAUUAGGUAGUUGGUGGGGUAAAGGCCUACCAAGCCGACGAUCUGUAGCUGGUCUGAGAGGACGACCAGCCACACUGGGACUGAGACACGGCCCAGACUCCUACGGGAGGCAGCAGUGGGGAAUUUCGGACAGUGGGCGCAAGCCUGAUCCAGCAAUGCCGCGUGCGGGAAGAAGGCCUUCGGGUUGUAAACCGCUUUUGUACGGAACGAAAAGGCUCUGGCUAAUACCUGGGGCUGAUGACGGUACCGUAAGAAUAAGCACCGGCUAACUACGUG
rnacentral:rRNA from 1 species